rnacentral:miRNA from 1 species
GAAUCACGACACUCAACUGUUAU